rnacentral:rRNA from 1 species
AGUGAACGCUGGCGGUAGGCCUAACACAUGCAAGUCGAACGGCAGCACAGUAAGAGCUUGCUCUUACGGGUGGCGAGUGGCGGACGGGUGAGGAAUACAUCGGAAUCUACUUUUUCGUGGGGGAUAACGUAGGGAAACUUACGCUAAUACCGCAUACGACCUACGGGUGAAAGCAGGGGAUCUUCGGACCUUGCGCGAUUGAAUGAGCCGAUGUCGGAUUAGCUAGUUGGCGGGGUAAAGGCCCACCAAGGCGACGAUCCGUAGCUGGUCUGAGAGGAUGAUCAGCCACACUGGAACUGAGACACGGUCCAGACUCCUACGGGAGGCAGCAGUGGGGAAUAUUGGACAAUGGGCGCAAGCCUGAUCCAGCCAUACCACGUGGGUGAAGAAGGCCUUCGGGUUGUAAAGCCCUUUUGUCGGGAAAGAAAAGCAGCAGGUUAAUACCCCGCUGUUCUGACGGUACCCAAAGAAUAAGCACCGGCUAACUUCGUG